rnacentral:rRNA from 1 species
UGGGGAAUUUUGGACAAUGGGCGAAAGCCUGAUCCAGCAAUGCCGCGUGUGUGAAGAAGGCCUUCGGGUUGUAAAGCACUUUUGUCCGGAAAGAAUCCUCUGGGUUAAUACUCGGGGGGAUACGGUACCGGAAGAAUAAGCACCGGCUAACUACGUGCCAGCAGCCGCGGUAAUACGUAGGGUGCAAGCGUUAAUCGGAAUUACUGGGCGUAAAGCGUGCGCAGGCGGUUUUUGUAAGACGGAUGUGAAAAUCCCCCGGGGCUUAAACCUGGGGAAACUGCAUUUCGNGACCUGCAAGGCUAGAGUAUGGCAAGGGGGGUAGAAUUCCACGUGUAGCAGUGAAAUGCGUAGAGAUGUGGAGGAAUACGAUGGCGAAGGCAGCCCCCUGGGCCAAUACUGACGCUCAUGCACG